CCAGCUGGAAAAGGAAGUUUCAAAAUGCUUCUACAUGCAUUAAGACAAAUCUGAAUCUUUCAGCUUUUGUGUUCUGAGUCUUCAGAAGUGGUGAUUUUUUGCUUAGGUUUGGUAGCCUCAUCCAUCAGCUCCUUCAGCUGCCCAAUCUGCUCAUCACGGAAGUCACUGAGCUUCUCUUCUGUGAGUUGGAUCCCAAAUACAGCCUUUUUUUUCAAGCUCUGUUUGUCCUCAUUAAUUUGUUGCCAUAUCAGCGCUGCAUAGUUCUCCCAUUCCCGCAGGAAGCGCUGUGCCUCGGCGGGCCCCGCGGCCUUGUGCUUCCUGAACUCCUCCUUGACGUAGCGGUCGCCCAGCUCCCGCAGGGCGGGUGGCAGCGCCCGGUGCAGCAGCAGGAUCCGCCGGUAGAGGCCCCGUGCACCACCCGCCUGCGUCCCCAGCCCGCCCGGCAUGGCGGCGGCGCAGAAGCCG
rnacentral:lncRNA from 1 species